rnacentral:rRNA from 1 species
UACGUAGGGACCAAGCGUUGUUCGGAUUUACUGGGCGUAAAGGGCGCGUAGGCGGCGCAACAAGUCACUUGUGAAAUCUCCGGGCUUAACUCGGAGCGGUCAAGUGAUACUGUCGUGCUAGAGUGCGGAAGGGGCUACUGGAAUUCUCGGUGUAGCGGUGAAAUGCGUAGAUAUCGGGAGGAACACCAGUGGCGAAGGCGGUUACCUGGAGCUUUGCUGACGCUGAUGCGCGAAAGCGUGGGGAGCGAUCCGG